rnacentral:rRNA from 1 species
GAUGAACGCUGACAGAAUGCUUAACACAUGCAAGUCUACUUGGACUUCGGUUUGGGUGGCGGACGGGUGAGUAACGCGUAAAGAACUUGCCUCACAGAUAGGGACAACAUUUGGAAACGAAUGCUAAUACCUGAUAUUAUGAUUUUAGGGCAUCCUAGGAUUAUGAAAGCUAUAUGCGCUGUGAGAGAGCUUUGCGUCCCAUUAGCUAGUUGGAGAGGUAACGGCUCACCAAGGCGAUGAUGGGUAGCCGGCCUGAGAGGGUGAUCGGCCACAAGGGGACUGAGACACGGCCCUUACUCCUACGGGAGGCAGCAGUGGGGAAUAUUGGACAAUGGACCAGGAGUCUGAUCCAGCAAUUCUGUGUGCACGAUGAAGUUUUUCGGAAUGUAAAGUGCUUUCAGUUGGGAAGAAAAAAAUGACGGUACCAACAGAAGAAGUGACGGCUAAAUACGUGCCAGCAGCCGCGGUAAUACGUAUGUCACAAGCGUUAUCCGGAUUUAUUGGGCGUAAAGCGCGUCUAGGUGGUUAUGUAAGUCUGAUGUGAAAAUGCAGGGCUCAACUCUGUAUUGCGUUGGAAACUGUGUAACUAGAGUACUGGAGAGGUAAGCGGAACUACAAGUGUAGAGGUGAAAUUCCGUAGAUAUUUGUAGGAAUGCCGAUGGGGGAAGCCAGCUUACUGGACAGAUACUGACGCUGAAUCGCGAAACCGUGGGUUGCAAACAAG